CCCCCGCUUUCCCCUCUCAUUCUCUCCUUCCAAAGAGGAAAAGGAGACUUUUCAUUGGCCGGAGCCGCAGAACGGCGAAGCCCUGUUGGACGCCAGGGCUUAAAAAGGGAGUGAAGUCAAAGUUUCCACCAAUCCCUUUCUUCUCCUCUUCAGGACGGGAAAGGAAGCAAGAAGGCGUCAGGGUCCGGAUGCCAAGUGUCGCAUGUGGGGAUUGGACAGAAGAGGGAAAAGAAAAGGGAGGAGAUAUGAGAGAUGAUUGGUUGGUCAUCUCCGUCUCAUAGAAACGGGAAGACGGAAGGAGGAGCCGAGCGAGUUUGGCGAAGGCAGGCGCCCGCGUCGUGACGCGCAUGCGUCCGAGGGGCCUUGGGGGUUUAUUUUUCUUCCCUUCAGCCGGCGCCAUUUUGUGCGCUCUUCAGUCACGUCUUAAUCUUGUUUCGUUGGGGUGACCGGAGACGGAGAAGAAGCAGCGGCUGCGGUGCCUUUUCUGAGCAGUUCUGCACAUAGAAACUUGAUACAAUGAGGCACCAGAAAGACUUGUUCACCAAGGUAGUGGCUAAUAGAACUGGAGCACUGACGAUGUACCUUGUAAAAAAGCCCUUGAUGUGAAAUGACAUCCACACAAGAGAAGGAUGUUGUCGUGAAGGAACUGCGAAAUGCAAUUCAAGAGGAAGAGAAUCAGCACAAAACAUAAAAUGAGCAGGAUGUCAAGAGAAUUGCUGCACUCGAAGCAUCGAUGAAGUUAAGGUGGUUGUAAAUACAACUGAGGCAGUGGGCCUUCAUGCUGAGGCAGAAAAGUUGUGCACGAGACAGGCAUGGCUUUCAAUGUGGUAUACUCAUGAAGAAGAAUAAAGCAACUCUUCCCAGGAUUUGGACCAGCCUGAGCUUGUGUUCAUGGCCACAGUCAAGGAUGAAGCGUCAACUACGUUACUCACGAAAAAGUCUGCUUGUAUGAUUGCUCUUCCUCUGUAGUUGUGAUACUCCUGUCCAGAAGAGAAUUGCUGCAGUCUUAAGUGUGCUGAGAGUUGCUUUUGAGAUGGAGCGCUAUCAAGGCUAACACUGAUGCUCUGUGGUAGAAUAAAAUCACGUUUGUUUA